rnacentral:rRNA from 1 species
UACGAAGGGUGCAAACGUUGCUCGGAAUCAUUGGGCGUAAAGCGCACGUAGGCGGCCCGAUAAGUCGGAUGUGAAAGCCCCGGGCUCAACCUGGGAAUGGCAAUGGAAACUGGCGAGCUUGAGUGUGGCAGAGGGGGGUGGAAUUCCGCGUGUAGCAGUGAAAUGCGUAGAGAUGCGGAGGAACACCGAUGGCGAAGGCAGCCCCCUGGGCCAACACUGACGCUCAGGCACGAAAGCGUGGGGAGCAAACAGG